GAUGAACGCUGGCGGCGUGCCUAAUACAUGCAAGUCGAGCGAACGGACGAGAAGCUUGCUUCUCUGAUGUUAGCGGCGGACGGGUGAGUAACACGUGGGUAACCUACCUAUAAGACUGGGAUAACUUCGGGAAACCGUAGCUAAUACCGGAUAAUAUUUUGAACCGCAUGGUUCAAAAGUGAAAGACGGUCUUGCUGUCACUUAUAGAUGGAUCCGCGCUGCAUUAGCUAGUUGGUAAGGUAACGGCUUACCAAGGCAACGAUGCAUAGCCGACCUGAAAGGGUGAUCGGCCACACUGGAACUGAGACACGGUCCAGACUCCUACGGGAGGCAGCAGUAGGGAAUCUUCCGCAAUGGGCGAAAGCCUGACGGAGCAACGCCGCGUGAGUGAUGAAGGUCUUCGGAUCGUAAAACUCUGUCAUUAGGGAAGAACAUAUGUGUAAGUAACUGUGCACAUCUUGACGGUACCUAAUCAGAAAGCCACGGCUAACUACGUG
rnacentral:rRNA from 1 species